GACGAACGCUGGCGGCGUGCUUAACACAUGCAAGUCGAGCGGUAAGGCUCCUUCGGGAGUACACGAGCGGCGAACGGGUGAGUAACACGUGAGUAAUCUGCCCUUCACUUCGGGAUAACCACCGGAAACGGUGGCUAAUACCGAAUACGACCAGUCUUCGCAUGAGGUGCUGGUGGAAAGUCUUUUCGGUGAAGGAUGUGCUCGCGGCCUAUCAGCUUGUUGGUGGGGUAAUGGCCUACCAAGGCUUCGACGGGUAGCCGGCCUGAGAGGGUGACCGGCCACACUGGGACUGAGACACGGCCCAGACUCCUACGGGAGGCAGCAGUGGGGAAUAUUGGACAAUGGGCGAAAGCCUGAUCCAGCAACGCCGCGUGAGGGAUGACGGCCUUCGGGUUGUAAACCUCUUUCAGUACCGACGAAGCGCCCUGUCGGGUGGUGACGGUAGGUACAAAAGAAGGACCGGCCAACUACGU
rnacentral:rRNA from 1 species